rnacentral:lncRNA from 1 species
UCAAGAAUUCGACGAGGUGGAGCUUCAACGUUGACGAGGCCGCAACCUACCAUGAUUUAUACUUUGUUUCUCAUGCGUCUCACAUCAGGUCAUGCAAAUGAUCAUACGGUUGUCAGAUCUCUACGACAUUGCAAUUGCAUGUGUAGAUACAUGCGACGACAUUGUUGUAAUCUGGAGGAAUGCUGUCGCAUGUAUGCGUACAUAGGUGAAGGGACUUGCCCAUCAUGGAAAACAGAUAGCAGUCCACGUCAUGAGGGAUGGAAGCGUCAGAGUUGAGUAGUUCAGCCAUUGCGACACACCCUGACGUCUGACCGACUCCAUCCGCGUUAGACAAAGAAUAAUAGCAAGUAAUCAUUUUGUUUUUGUGCAUCGUUCUUUGUUAUAAAGUCUUCAGUUCAACCAAAAAUGGACCACCAGAAUGACACCUACUGUGCUUUCUAAUCUGCAUUUCGUGUGGCCGAUAUUUCAUUGGUUCGUGGCCGGUCACCGGUGACAUCAAACACCUAACCUUACUUGGCCACACGAUUUACAUCGUCUCGCUCAACGAUACCCUUGCCGUAGGUGUCCUUGGCGGAUGUAAACGGUGGCUAGUGACUACUCAAAACUGCCGCAUUCCACACGGCAAUGGUUCUUUGGGUGAGUUGACAUCGGUAGCUGUUACGAGGCACACCGGCCAAAGGGCAAGCCUCCACGUGGUGUUUGAUGUCACCAGCGAUGGGUGAGAAAUUAAAGGCCAAAGGAAUUAUUAUACGCCGAAGGUGGUUGUUUGGUCGAGUGUUAUGAGAUUGGCUGGCCAACGCUCUCAUAAAAUUAGUCGCGAUUUUGGUCAUGGAUGGAUUAGUUGGAGUUGAUGUUUUUAAUGACAAGAUGAGAUUUGGUUGUAGAAUCGAGAGAUUGCUGAUGAUGAUGCUAAGACACUGGGCCGCACCUGAUUCAGCCCGGUCUUCUUUUAUGUGUCCCUUGCGAUCCCAUGGAUUCCCCAGAGCAAAGACGUAUACAAAUUAUUCCAACAGGUAGAGCGAGUCCAAAUUGCCUUUUGUGUUGAAAGGGAGCUAUUGGAAACGGGAAGAGUAUCUUCCUUUGACAACAAAGUGAUAUACGGGUUGGAUCACAUUGAUCGUACGAUCACUCUGGCGAGGCUCGACUCGGCCCAUGUCGAGAACAACGAAGCCCAACUGAACCAGUCAAUUCAUACAUCGUAGUUGCAAUUCUCGUCCGUGGAAACACCGACGGCGAUUGAUGACCACGGAGGCCCGCUUGGCUCGGCCUCGGCUGUUGGGGUUUCUGAGUUUGGGCCGCGGAAACGAACUCUUUCAAAUCCUUGGAAUUGACUGAGGGAUGGAUGAUCCUAAAUUUGAGGACGUAGACAAAAUAUCUUUAUCAAUGCUUCAUAUUAGGGAGCCAAGGAGAAUUUUAUUUCUAGGAUUAGCGCAACCCCAUACACUCAUGAGAAAUUAUCUGAAUGUGUCAACUCAGUUUGUGGGACCAAAUAUUCUCAUCACCAUCCUUAAAAUCUUCCGUAAAUAAAGUCCUAAAUCAAAUAUUGAUAUGCAUAUUCUACAGCCAUCGUAGAUUAGAAGGCAUGUUGCCAUGGACAACCUACAGCAACAGGCAUUACUAACUUGUGACAUAUAAAUGGGGCAUGCAACGAUUUCCAUUCAUCCCAAUGCCGCAUCAUGACACAUUGUCGUAGCUCGUUUGCAAUGUCUCAGUCGUCCACAUUCUGGAGCUUAUCCCCGCAACCUCGCAAACUGAUUAAACUACGCCACACAUAUCAUCAUGAUUUCUCAGAAAAUGAUCCAUUCACGAAGAAUAAUUAGGGAAAGAAGUAGAACAAGGAGCAACGAAUCCAGCGGAGCCUACUCGGUGCAUUGAUUCGCUUCAAAGCAUCAGAAUGAAACCCUAGGGGCAAGAAAUCAACCAGAUAGAUACAGAACCAGCAGCAGCAACAACAACUACAGAAAGAUCAAACCAGAAACACAGCUGACAAAAACCCGAGACCGAAGAACUGGAGAAAUGACCAUCUGAUGCAGACUGACUAUGAAGAUUUAAAGAUGAUAAAUAUAUCUGGUGAACAACAAACACUUAAGCAGUAGACCCAAGGAAUUCCAGUCUAAUGGUUAAGUGAUAAGGACAUCUAGAAUUAGAUCAAGGAACUGUCUGACCUUGUUUAACCUAAUAUUCGACCCACAAAAGUAGCAAUACUUCCAUCUUUCUGAGAUCUCAUUCCAUUAUUAAUGAUUUUUUAACCCCCUUUUCUUUCUUUUUUUCAAGUUUGGAUGCACUAUCCUACCAACGAUAGACAUGCAACCGAUGAUCUUAUAGUGUCUCCAACAUGUUCAUGGCCAGAUAUUAAAUGUACAAGGAAGAAAAUAAGAAGCAAGUACCUCCUCACUGAUACUGACAUUGUCCAUCAUGAAGACAAUUGUUUCUGGAUUGUGAUGAUAAUCCAUGCAUGACAUUCCUGGUCAAAUGGUAAUGUUGGCUACUGAAGCAAAUUCUGUAAACAUCUAAAAUAUCAUUCGCUUAGUUAUUGUGCAAGAUAAUUAAGCAUCACAAAAGAACCAGAUUGCAGUUUUGUGCCACACAGAGCACAAUAUUGUUGUCACCAUAGCCAAUAAUUAUGAUCUAGCAAUGGAUGACGGUAGGAAAUUAAGAGCUAUACAUUAGCUCUGUCGUCUCAAUCUUUUGUGUUAAUCAUGGAAGCCUUGUGUAAGAUGAAAUGAUGAAUAGGGAAAAACUUAGCCAACACCAUUAGAAUCAAGAAAAGCACAAACCAGCACUACGAAAACAAGAUUCCUAAGCUCGAUUCCAUGUCACUCCCUAAGUUAAAGUAGUACCAUAUAUGUUUACCUAAUCUUUCACAUACGUUUCCAAGUUAAAGUAAAAGUUAUUACAACAUCGUUAUAUUCGUUCAUAGAAGACUAAAGAAGUUACUUCAAAUCUGCAUCAGAUCAGUAGGCAAUAUUUGUUUUCCUUCAUUAAUCAAUACUCAAUUGAAUAACUAAGCCAACCAGGAAAAGAGCGAGAGCGACGCCCAUACUUCCAGAAUCUAACUCCAAUCUCAAAACAAUAUAAUGAGAUGUCUUCAAAACGAUAGAUUUCGACACUAUAUGAAGAAUUAAGCUGCACAAGGUCUUUCAAAAUGAUAAUUUGUGAUACAACUCUCUGGAUCACCAGACUGUUAUUAACUUGUCGACAGAGUCUAAAUUAUAACAAGAUUACAGUAGAAAGCACAUCAUAUGAUCAAAGCAAUCAUCCAGUUCCAAUAUAUCAACAGAAAUGAAACGCGAAAGAGGAAUAAAAGCAACCAUGUUUCCAGGAAAAAUAAGAUAAAAUCCAACGCAUACACGAAAAGAAAAGGAGCAGAUGACAGGGAUUGAUCUAAACGUAAAAAUAAGAUAAACUGCAAACAGACCGAAGUCUAGAACGAAAGAAAUCGAUCAAUAGGCCACAAAAGAUUCAGGUGAACAUCAUCAUCAUAGAAACCAAAUGCUCCUAACAUCAUCAACUCCGUAUCGGAACCCACAGAAACAGUAUUUCUUCACCUGACGAGGCAGUGGAAGCGAUCGAAGAUCGAGAUGACUCUGGAACGUCUUGGUUGCGAGAAGCGGCUGCAGAGCAACCCAGAUGAGAACGUACCUUCUCGACAUGGAAGGUGGCAAUGGGGCUUAUUUAUAGGGUUUAUGAGGUCCGGGCCGGGCCGAGCCGGGCUGGACCCAUGGAUUAGGAUCCUCUCCAAGUAGAGGGAUCCGACUGUUCGUCGAAUCCACGCACUUUAGAUGGAACCCGCAUCAACAGACGGUCGAGAUGUAGCAAUUGGAAGGCUUGAUUAGAAGUCACACUUGAAGCGGUGACGGUGGACUUCAACACUGGUCCUUUGCUUUACCCACGCGUUUGUGUCGUCUCGAAUGUUCCACCUGCCUCGUGAUUUCGCAUUAGACGGGACACCGCACUGCCGACAAUGACGGAUCGGGUGGAAAGGGCGGGUGAAUUUAUAGCUGGCAGAAACAAUUAUUUGAGUCGUCUCUUAGUUUCUGGUGGCCGGCCUUUUAAAGCUUGAUUAAAGAAGAUGCAGCAGAUAACAGCAACCUUAACAAGGAAUGCAGGAUCGACAUAGCUGCGUAUUAACGCAAUUUAUACUUUAUUUCCACCAAGAGGGGUUUACAUCCGAUGAUAACUUUUAAUAGAUAGCGCAUCAAACAUCCUGUUGUUCAUCUUUGAUGGCUCACUUGAAUGCAUAUUUCAUUACACCUGGGAUAUGAAUGCUACUGAAGUAAGCCUCCCAGUCAAUGUGCUUGGGAUCAAAAUCAAACAUCUUGGCCUCUGCGUCGUCCUUCUUCAUCGCCAUCCUCAACCUCUCCAUGUUUAGAUCAUCAAAGCUUCAAAAUGUAUUCAAGUCAUUCACAUGAUUUAUUCUUUUUAAAAUGGCUUUGUUAAUUAAAAAUAAUAAUCUUGUACAAAUCAUCUUUAAAUCAAGAAAAAGUAUCCUACCAUCCAUCGAAGUAGGCGUAGGGUUUGUAAAGUUCAACAAGAUACAUCACGUACUUGUACUUCCGGUUGAGUUCAUUGUAUCCGCGAGCGAUUCGUCCACAAGAUAAUAGAUUGAAUAGGUGCAUUACCUAUCGAGAGCAGUCACAAUUCGCAUGCGGAGUGAAGUAGGGCUAUACAUCAAAAUGCGUUUGGCAGAAUCGUGCAGAGCUGUAUGUACGGACUGACCUCCAAUGGCAGCUUGUAUCUCAGAGUCAUGAAGACGCGGAAUCUGACCAUGCUUUUGAUGAAAGAAAGCCUCUUUGUCGGCAUGACACUUCCAUCUCUCCCGACGCGAGGGUUGGCAAGGAAGUAACGGAAGUGACAAUGCUCCAGGGUGGCGUAUGUCACUGGAUUUCUCACGGACGAGCCCAUGUGGUAGAUGAACUCGGCCUGCUGCUUCGAGUGAGCUGCCAUGGUCGCCAUCAUCGCAUUCACCACCAUGUCCCCGGGCACCUGCAUCAUUAGGAUCAUCUCAGAACGAUAAUACCCAAAAAAAAGUGUGGAUUGCUGAUGGGUAUGUGGGUCGAAGCUUUGUUCGGACGAGAGAACGAACCACGUCCAUGAUGACAUCGAGAUCUCCAAAGAAGCAUGUGAUCUUCCCCUUCGCGUAACCUAUGAUUACGCUGUCGAUCGUUCUGCACAACAACCACCACACACCGGCUGUAGCUCUAAGGUGACAGUGCAAAUCUAAAACGCAGCGACUCCAUCGACUGGAGUCAUGUUAGAUAGAUAGAUAGAUACCGUGUUCCUUCGACCCAACCCGGCAGUGGAUCACUCUGAACGCUUGUUAUGAUCGUUGGGCGUAAAAUUACCAUCGGCAGAUCUCCUCUCGAGUGUCCAAGCAACAUCUCACCCAUCGCUUUGGUGAAAACGUAGGUGUUUGGCCAACCAAACAACUUAGCCCUUUGGGAUGCAAGAGAUUAGGAACGAAGAGAGAUCAGCUCAAUGGCUCAAUCUAUGAGAUUAGGAGGACGAGCGACGAUAAGGGUCAAACCUGUUUAUCCCCAGUUCCUUCAUGGCUAGCUUCUCUGCUUCCUCGGUCGCGUCCUCUGCACGGAGCUCCCUCUUCUUCUUGUCCGCCAAGCUUAGUUCUGCUUCAAUGUCCAAGUAGGAGUCCCCCGUGAGGGUCUCUCCCAUGAGAAACUUCUUCUCCAAGAUCAGUCCGCUUUGCACGCCAGCUACAUAAGCUGGCAACGAGAGGAAGAUGAGAUCGUUGCAAGUUAUUAAUAUGCACAAAAUCUUAUGUCAUGUGUUAGAAUGGUAUCUUGAAUCAACUCGAAAUGCAACGUACCGGUAGAAACAUGGAGAAGCAUUUGUAGCCUAACACAUCGUUUGGCAAAUUCCAAAAUAUGCUUGGCUCCGAGGACAUUGAUGCCCAACGCAACAUCAUAUCUGUGAGUUAUCAAGUAAAUUUCGCUAGCAAGAGUCGCAACCUUGAGAUCACAUCUUUGUUUGUUUUGUCCGAUUACCUCUCAUCAAAGUUGGUGGUUGCAGCUACAUUGACAACAACCUCUACUUCCUUCCACAAGUUUCUUCGGAGAUCAGAGUCAUGUAUUCCUAAAUCUUCCUGGACUAUGUCGCCAGCCAGAGGAACAAGUUUGCUCGCAACAAAUGAAUGGAACCCGUCGCCGUGUUUGUCUUUUAGAACCUUAAAUAAAUCCUUUUCUAGUAUCUAUAAUGAAAAGAAAAAGAUGAUUAAUUCCAAGAGUUGAACAAUCAGAAAAUACAUAUGCACAAGUAAACCGUAAGUAGAAUUAAGCCUAAUUUCUAGACUCAUGAAUCUGAACCUAAGUUUUUGGUGCAAGCGAAAGAGAAGAGGAAGAGGUAUAUUUCUUGCACGUAACUUUGGUAAGCCAAAAACUUGUAGCUUGUGUGUCCAUUAAGCUUCAAUGACAAAAAAGAAAGAAGAAACCCCUUUGAGGAGGAGGAGUUGCACCUCAGUUUGCACACGCCGGUUGGCGGAUGCGGCAUCACCGGCUCUGACGAGGAGGAACAGCUUCUUGACCUCGGGUUGAACCCGUAGCACCUUCUCCACGAAUACUUUCAUCCCAAACCAACAACGAAAACAAGCAGAACACACACAAAGAUCAGUAAAGAUUGUAAAGCACAUUUUGAUGUUUUCCAAGAGAUGUUUGUGUGAGAGGAGUACUUUUUGCCAGGAAGCCAGUGGAUCCAGUGACCAGAAUGCUCUUGUUCUUGAAGAACUUCACGAUUCGUAUGCUUUCCAUGUCGCUGCUCUCGAGAGCGAAGCCUCUGUACGUGUUUGUGUAGAGAGAGAGAGAGAGAGAGAGAUGGUUUGGGACACCUGAGCGAGGGAUGCAUAUAAAUAGUACUGUGGGUGCGGUGAUUGAUCGUACUGCCACGACGACUUACAAUGAUUGAUCGUAACUUGAAACGGCGGACCAUGUCGUGUCAACUCAUCAUUAAGAUGCAUGCUUUCCUAAGCUUUCUGUGUUGUGUAUAACAUGAUCAGCAAUCAAGAAUUCAAUGAGGUGGGGCUUCAACCUACCAUGAUUUAUACUUUGUUUCUCAGACCUCGUACGCCUUGGUUCACAACCUUAUACUGCAUGAGUCUCACAUCAGGUCAUGCACAUGAUCACACGGUUGUCAGAUCUCUACAACAUUGCAUGUAUAGAUACAUGCAACGACAUUGUUGUAAUCUGGAAUGUUGUUGCAUGUAUGCGCGUAUAUAGGUGAAGGAACUGCCGGUGGCAUGUGGUAAACUGCCGGUGCUCAGUUGGUACGAGGCACCGGCCAAAGGGCAAACUGCCGGUGCUCCAAAUGUCACAUGUGGUGUUUGAUGCCACCAACUAUAGGUAUGAAAUUAAAGGCCGGCUAUCAUUGAAGAUGGUUGUUAGGUCGAGUAUUAUCAGAUGGCUGGCCAUCGUUCUCAUGAAAAGUAGUCGCCAUUUUGAUCAAGGGUUGUUUAGGGGAAUUCUAAUUGACAUUUGAGUCAGGUUGAUUUAGCUGUGAUAUGAAAAUAUAGGGAUAUCUAAAGAAUUAUCAUAGCGAUUUUAGUGUAGGGAUAUCUAAAGAACUAUUAUAGCGGUCGUAGUGCAACUAAGGUGACUUUG